rnacentral:rRNA from 1 species
UACGUAGGGUGCAAGCGUUAAUCGGAAUUACUGGGCGUAAAGCGUGCGCAGGCGGUUCGGAAAGAAAGAUGUGAAAUCCCAGGGCUUAACCUUGGAACUGCAUUUUUAACUACCGGGCUAGAGUGUGUCAGAGGGGGGUGGAAUUCCACGUGUAGCAGUGAAAUGCGUAGAUAUGUGGAGGAACACCGAUGGCGAAGGCAGCCCCCUGGGCCACUACUGACGCUGAGAAGCGAAAGCAUGGGGAGCGAACAGG